GUUCUGUUGCCUUGCUAGACGGCAGAGGGUAGAGGCUUUCGGGGAAGCUGCUACCUUGACUAAAUGCCACGCGGCAUUCGAGUUUCUUUUGGGGACACAAUGCAACAUUGGAAGUUCGAUACUCACGGGCCGGGUGCCGGCUAUAAAGAGGGGGGAGGAGGCUCACGGGCCCUGCCGCAAAAAGCACGGCCCCGGCCGGGGCUCUCGACGACCUCGUUUCGUUGCGAUGGCCCAGCAGCUUCUCCUCCUGGUCCUCCUCCUGACCGCCGCCGCCUCCACCUGCAUCACGGCCCUGGCUGCGCCGGCAAGCCCGCCGCUGCCGGAGGCCUUCCUCGCCUUCGCCAUGUGGGCUCUGGCGUCGACGGCGCUCGCGGUGCACCUGCCGCGCGCGCGCCGUCGCGGCGCCGAGUGAGCCCGGCCGAUCGACGGCUGCCGGGCUCACGCCCAUCCAUUAUAGAUGAGACGUGGCGGCCAUGGCGUUCGUCGGCAGAUCGACCCAAGCGUGCGUCGAGCUCGCCGGAGACCUGUCAUCACUAGCAUAUCUAAUCAAGGGUACGGUAUGUCCCACGCGUCAGGAACUGAAUGAUCUAGCCAGUCGUUGGAGUCGGAGACUCGAAGGCAGCCAUUUCUCAUCGAAAGAGAUGGACAGGGUCAACGAGCGGCGCAGUGCUCCAAUCACCGAGAUCAGUCAAGUCACGACGAUAAUCUAAAUAAUUCUCCGUCUAUGAGAGUGUAUUUUGUACGUACUCCGCUAAUAUAACCACCAUGUACGCGUCCUUUGUAUUGGUCCACGUAUAUUGAUAUAUUACUUAGUAUACAAUAUUAUUAUGAAGACAA